AUUGAACGCUGGCGGCAGGCCUAACACAUGCAAGUCGAGCGAGCGGCGGACGGGUGAGUAAUGUCUGGGAAACUGCCUGAUGGAGGGGGAUAACUACUGGAAACGGUCGCUAAUACCGCAUACCCUCAGAUGUGCCCAGAUGGGAUUAGCUAGUAGGUGGGGUAACGGCUCACCUAGGCGACGAUCCCUAGCUGGUCUGAGAGGAUGACCAGCCACACUGGAACUGAGACCCGGCCCAGACUCCUCCGGGAGCCAGCAGUGGGGAACAUUGCACAAUGGGCGCAGGCUUGAUGCAGCCAGGCCGCGUGUAUGAGGAAGGCCUUCGGGUUGUAAAGUACUUUCAGCGGGGAGGCGUUACCCGCAGAAGAAGCACCGGCUAACUCCGUGCCAGCAGCCGCGGUAAUUC
rnacentral:rRNA from 1 species